UACGUAGGGGGCUAGCGUUGUCCGGAAUCAUUGGGCGUAAAGCGCGUGUAGGCGGCCCGGUAAGUCCGCUGUGAAAGUCCAGGGCUCAACCCUGGGAUGCCGGUGGAUACUGUCGGGCUCGAGUCCGGAAGAGGCGAGUGGAAUUCCUGGUGUAGCGGUGAAAUGCGCAGAUAUCAGGGAGAACACCCGUGGCGAAGGCGGCUCUCUGGGACGGUACUGACGCUGAGACGCGAAAGCGUGGGGAGCGAACGGG
rnacentral:rRNA from 1 species